CAGCAGCUUAUCUGGAUGAUAGAAUUUACUAGGUACACCCAAUAGCAACAAUUUCCAGAUACCAAUAAUAUAUCAAUUAUACUCUUCAAAAUAGCUAGUUUCCAACUUUGUCAUUCCUGGACAUAUAUUGCGGCAUGUUACCAUAGGAUCAAAACCAUAUCGUUCAUAACAAGUGAUCAACGCAUACUUACAAUAGUUCUAUAAUACUUUCACAUGAGUAUACCCAUGCUAAAUUCAAUUAAGUCCAAUAACACCUAUCCAAAGUGAUCACCCACUCACCUUGUAAUUUCUUUACUGUAAACUUUUUCCUUUUGAUGCGUUGUUGGAUCAAAGCAACUGGACAUCAUAUGCUCUGUUUUCAUUGAAUAGAAAUACAAACCAUCAAUACCAUACUCCAAAUUCAAAUACUGAACACAUACCAUUCGCUUUCAUAAGGGACCUUACCUUCUUCUGUACCUUCUCUGAAAUACAUAUAUAUAUAUAUAUAUAUAUAUAUAUCAUUAUCCUGUUAGAAAGAUGAUCUUCUGUAUCAUCUAUAUUAGGAAUGUUAUUAGGUGUGAAUAUCUUUUCCUAUUAUAUUUCUUGAUUGUAUAGGUAUUGUAAAGAUAGUUUCCUUGUAGGAUUCCAUUACUACUUGUGUAUGUAAUCGUGAUUGAGAAUCAAUGAAACAUUCUGGCCAAACUAUCAUCUUUUCAUGGUAUCAGAGCAGGAUUAGAUCCUGACUCUGCAGCUGUUGCAUUUUAUCUCUCGUGCAACGAUUUUUCUUCUCAAUCUGUUGUACUCUAUAUCUCGUACAACAAUUCUCUUGUCUUCAUGGCCAAUAAAGAUUUCAAAUCAUUCUUCAUUGAUCAUCCUGAUCAUCCAUCCUUGUUGAUAGUGUUCAACCAAUAUAAUCAAUCAAAUCAACCUAUCCGGCAAAAAAGUUUCUCCGUUCGCAUUCCUUUCCCCAAGCAACUACGUCAACAUGCUUUGGCUAUUUUGAAUCACAAAGGACCCGAUAGUUCAAGAGUCAAUGUUGCUGUAACAGAACCAGUUUUAUCUAAGGUCACUUCCCGCAACUGGAUUAUCGAUAGCGGCGCGACAGAUCAUAUCUCUUCAUCUCAAGGCUCACUAUUACACAAAGACAAAUAUCGUUCAUUGCCUUCCGUAUUGUUGCCUAGUGGAGAAAAGGCUAAUAUUGUUGCCAAGGGUUCUUUGCCUCUGACUUCUGAGUACUAUUUGCAUGAUGUGUUGUGUGUGCCUACAUUCAAAGUUGAUCUAAUGUCUGUCAGUCGAUUAACGAGUGAAUUGUUCUGUGACAUUUUUCCCUUAUUGGUGUAUUUUGCAGGAUCUGGUUUCAAAGAAGACGAUUGGUCUGGGGAAGCAACGUGACGGUCUCUAUUAUUUAGUGGCGUUAGCGACGGAGAAAAACAAGCCCAAACCACAUAAGUCAUCAUCAAUUCAACCUGCUUGUCAUUCCACAGUAUCUUUUUCCAACCUUUGGCAUCGUCGAUUGGGUCAUGUUUCGUCUGCUCCUCUAGAUUAUAUUGCUAAGCACUUUUUGGAUAUUUCUAUUCCUUCUGGUUCAAAUCAUGUUUGCGAUAUUUGUCCGUUGGCAAAACAAAGUCGUCUCUCUUUUGGUACCAGUUCUAUCUCAUCUGUUAAACCUUUUGAUCUUAUUCAUUGUGACAUUUGGGGUCCCUACAAACAUCCUUCUCUUUCUGGUGCACGUUAUUUUCUUACAAUAGUGGAUGAUUAUUCUCGUUUUACUUGGGUGUUUUUGAUGCAACAUAGAUGGGAAACUCCGUCUUUGAUUAAACAAUUUUUGGCUUAUGCAUCUACCCAGUUCUCAUCUCAAAUUAAAAGUUUUCGCAAUGACAAUGGGGCUGAAUUUAUUUCCCUUCGAAAUUUUUUCAAAGAAAAUGGAGUCAUUUUUCAGCAUUCUUGUGUUUAUACGCCUCAACAAAAUGGGGUAGUAGAACGCAAACAUCGUCAUAUUCUCCAAGUUGCUCGUGCUUUCAGGUUUCAAGCUAAAAUUCCGCUAAAAUUUUGGGGAGAAUCUGUUCUCAUUGCUGUUCAUGUCAUUAAUCAUUUCCCAACUCCACUUCUCUCUUUUCAAACACCUUUCGAGCGUCUUUAUUCCCGACCUCCUUCUUUUAAUCAUCUCCGUGUUUUUGGUUGUUUGGCAUAUGCUACAAAUGUCAAGGUCACACAUAAGUUUGCCCCAAGAGCAAUCAAAUGCAUCUUCAUUGGUUAUCCUGUUGGUCAAAAAGCCUAUAAACUUUACGAUCUCUCAAAUCAUAAAGUUUUUACUAGUCGUGAUGUUGUAUUUCAUGAAGAUCUCUUUCCAUAUGUCUCUAAUGAACUCACGCCCAAUUCUAACUCUCAUGAGUCUGUCCACUGUCGCCCAUUAGCCCAUAUAACAGACCCAACCAGCCCAUUCUCAUAUCCACAUACUCACCCUAAUUUCAGUCAACCGGGUCACUUAGCCAAUCAUGACCCUCAAUCUGCCUUGCGUCGUCCUGUCUCUCUGACGUCGUCACCAUCUCUUCCGGCGACGUCUCUUCUUGUAACUUCCCUUCCAGCACCUUUGACUUCAUCUUUCCCAGCGUCGUCGUCUCCUUCUCUUCCGGUGCAGUCACCUCGCGUCGUCGUCUCCCUCUCUCCCGGCGCCUCCAUACCCCGGUCACAUCAACCAUCCCCUCUUCCCGCCGACGGUGCUGCACUUUCCAAUUCCGGCGCUGUCGCCGCUCAACCUCCUUCACACCAAACUCUCGGCUUUGACCAGCCAUCAACAAUCGACCUAGUCGCACCACUUCCAGCAGAACCCAGCCUUCCGACAACCUCCAAUCUUCCUCCGGUCGGCUCCGAUCAUUCAAUCACCUCUCCGGCCGAUCUCAGUUCCAAUCCAACUCCAAUCGUACCCACAGUCGCACCUACAUCAUCUCCAGCUAUUGACGAAGUCGCACCUUUUUUGUCGGAAUCCAAUCCUUCUCUUUGUCGCUCUAGCCGCACUGUUGUCCUGCCAAUUAAACUUCGGGACUAUGUUUGUUCUCAAGUGACCACGCUGCCUUCCCCAAAUCGGGCGUCUCCUUUGCUUCCUGGUCCGACUAAAGGUACACGAUAUCCAUUGUGCAAUUUUGUUUCUUAUGAUUGAUAUACUCCUGCGUAUCGUUCUUUUAUUGCACAGAUCAGCCAUGCUUCUGAGCCUCGUUCCUAUGAUGAUGCUAUUCCCCAUCCAGAAUGGCAAGAAGCUAUGCGUUCGGAGCUUCAGGCUCUCCAUGAUAACGGUACAUGGUCCCUCAUGCCUCUUCCUCCAGGCAAGAAAACUAUCGGCUGUCGUUGGGUGUAUAAAAUCAAACACCGUUCUGACGGUUCUAUUGAGCGUUACAAAGCUCGUCUAGUUGCUAAAGGUUUCACAUAGAUGGAAGGUGUUGAUUACCAGGAUACUUUCUCUCCUACGGCUAAAAUCAUUACUGUUCGUUUCAUUGCUCUUGCUGCUGCACAACGUUGGUCUCUUUCUCAAUUGGAUGUGAAUAAUGCGUUCUUACAUGGUGACCUUCAUGAGGAGAUUUACAUGACACCUCCACCUGGUCUUCGGCGACAGGGAGAGGAACACUUGGUUUGUCGCCUUCACAAAUCUUUGUAUGGCCUUAAACAAGCAUCUCGCCAAUGGUUUGCAAAGUUUUCAGAAGCAAUCCAGUCAGCUGGUUAUGUUCAAUCCAAAGUAGACUAUUCUCUUUUCACAAGAAAGCAAGGCAAGUCAUUCACUGCUCAUGUUGAUGACAUUCUGAUCACCGGUAAUGAUUCUGCUAGUAUUGGUGCACUUAAGAAGUUCUUGCAUGGUCAUUUUCGUAUUAAAGAUCUUGGUGAAUUGAAAUAUUUUCUUAGCAUCGAAGUGUGUUCCUCUACGCAUGGCAUUUUUAUUUCACAAAGAAAAUAUGCUUUGGAAAUUAUCAAAGAUGCAGGAUUAUUAGGUGCUGCUCCAGUUGAUACUCCUAUGGAGCGUGAUUUGAAAUUAUCCGAUAAAAGUGAUUUGCUUAAGGAUCCAUCUCGAUACAGAAGGCUAGGUGGGAGAUUGAUUUAUCUUACAGUUUCAAGACCUGAUAUUACUUAUUCAGUUCAUGUAUUGAGCAGAUUUAUGCAUGAGCCACGCAAAUGUCAUAUGGAGAGCGCUCUUCGUGUUGUGAGAUAUCUUAAGAGUGCACCUGGUCAAGGUUUAUUUUUCUCUUCAAACAGUGACUUCAGAUUACGUGCAUUCUGUGAUUCUGAUUGGGCAGGUUGUCCAAUUACUAGAAGGUCUACUACUGGUUACUGUGUCUUUCUUGGCUCUUCUUUAAUAUCAUGGAGAUCAAAACGGCAGAAACCGUUUCUCUUUCUUCAGCAGAGGCAGAAUACAGAGCCAUGACAAGUGCUUGUUGUGAGUUAACAUGGUUGAGAUUUCUCUUUCGAGAUUUGGGUGUGAUGCACCCAAAACCAGCGUUGUUGUAUUGUGAUAAUAAGGCAACAUUGCAUAUUGCUGCUAAUCCAGUUUUUCAUGAGAGGACAAGGCACAUUGAGAUAGAUUGUCACUUCAUUAGAGAUAAAAUUCAGGAUGGUUCAGUUGUCACAAAAUUUGUCAAUUCCUCACACCAGCUUGCUGAUGUUCUUACUAAGGCUUUGGGAAAAGAAGAUUUUGUUCUUAUGAUUCACAAGUUGGGAGUUUGAGAUAUCCACUCUCCAACUUGAGGGGGAGUGUUAGAAAGAUGAUCUUCUGUAUCAUCUAUAUUAGGAAUGUUAUUAGGUGUGAAUAUCUUUUCCUAUUAUAUUUUUUGAUUGUAUAGGUAUUGUAAAGAUAGUUUCCUUGUAGGAUUCCAUUACUACUUGUGUAUGUAAUCGUGAUUGAGAAUCAAUGAAACAUUCUGGCCAAACUAUCAUCUUUUCAUAUCCAAGGUUCAAUCUCUAUCCUUGCUUUUAUAAUUAUACUGGAAAUCUUUCAUUCUGUUUCAUUCAAAUAAGAUCACCACUUAACACUACUACCAUAACCUCCUAACUGAACCCAAUUUCAAUUCGGUGAAAAGAACUUUACCUUUCAUUUCAGCUCCAUCGAUCACUUCUUUCUUUUCACAUUCAAUAACUCUCCAUGGACUUCAUGCUUCUUUCCUUGGAACUCAAAUUUUUGUCGUCACCGGCAUCCCAAUUAACAGAAUAAUCAGAACCCGAUCUAUCAAAAUCAGAAAUCCAAAAUCUAUGGGUUCUUGGGACUUUACCUCAAUACGCAAAGAAAAGGAGAAUAACGUUCAUGCCUGUGGCUUUCUACAACUCGAAUUGGUGUUGACGGUACAUGGCCGAACGACCCAAACUCCAUCUCUGUUGUAUCCUUGAACUGAAGAUUAACAUCCCACUAUGAAUAUUUAGCAGCUUUGCCUUCUUGAACAUGAACAGAGACAGAGAGAGAAAGAAAGAGAGUGAUCAAGAUCGAGAGUGUUCGUAAGAGAGGGAGAGAAAACGGGAGAAGCUUCUGGUCAUUCUAAUCAAAGCUUAUCAAUUUGUAACUCAUAUAUAUAGAAUUACAAUGUUGCCCUCCUUAGGCAUAAACAUGUGACCUAAUCAGGUUAUUCCAAGCCUACAUUAUAGGCCCAAUUCAAAAAUGAAACCUCUCGAACUCAACUAAAUCGAGCAAUAUCCGUCUAUUAUAUAAAUUGUUUACUAAAAUCAUUCGCGACUGAAUACAUAUAGCUAUAACUUUACGGGGUCUUACCGCUCCCGUAGAAGUUAUCAUUUUUACUGACCAUUAACUAAAAGGAUGGCAUGGUGUGGUUGGUGAGAUUGCUACAUUUGGUCCUACACUUCUAGCUAAGGCAGUAAG
rnacentral:lncRNA from 1 species